AGGAUGAACGCUGGCGGCGUGCCUAAUACAUGCAAGUCGAGCGGUAAGGCCUCUUCGGAGGUACACGAGCGGCGGACGGCUGAGUAACGCGUAGGAACAUACCCCAAAGUGAGGGAUAACUGCUCGAAAGAGUAGCUAAUACCGCAUGUGAUCUAAGGAUUAAAGCUUCGGCGCUUUGGGAAUGGCCUGCGUAAGAUUAGCUUGUUGGUGAGGUAAUAGCUCACCAAGGCGACGAUCUUUAGCUGGUCUGAGAGGAUGAUCAGCCAGACUGGGACUGAGACACGGCCCAGACUCCUACGGGAGGCAGCAGUAGGGAAUUUCCACAAUGGACGAAAGUCUGAUGGAGCAACGCGCGUGCAGGAUGAAGGCCCUUGGGUCGUAAACGUGCUUUUUAUAGUGUGAAGUAUUUUGACGGUAACAUAAUAGAAUAAGGAUCGGUACUAACUCCGUGCCAGCAGCCGC
rnacentral:rRNA from 1 species